UGUAGGGAAGUAUACGACCCCGUUCUGUGCAUGGAGUUAACGCAAAUAGGUACCCCGCCUGGGGGAGUACGGCCCGCAAGGUCUGAAACUCAAAGGAAUUGACGGGGGGCCCGCACAAGCGGUGGAGUAUGUGGUUUAAUUCGACGCAACGCGAAGAACCUUAACAAGCCUUGACAUUGAUCGCAAUGGAUAGAGAUAUCCAGUUCCUCUUCGGAGGACGAGAAAACAGGUGGUGCACGGCUGUCGUCAGCUCGUGUCGUGAGAUGUUGGGUUAAGUCCCGCAACGAGCGCAACCCCUAUCUUCUGUUACCAGCACGUGAUGGUGGGGACUCAGGAGAGACUGCCGCAGACAAUGCGGAGGAAGGCGGGGAUGACGUCAAGUCAUCAUGCCCCUUAUGGCUUGGGCUACACACGUACUACAAUGGCUCUUAAUAGAGGGAAGCGAAAGGGCGACCUGGAGCAAACCCCAAAAACAGAGUCCCAGUUCGGAUUGCAGGCUGCAACCCGCCUGCAUGAAGGAGGAAUCGCUAGUAAUCGCAGGUCAGCAUACUGCGGUGAAUACGUUCCCGGGCCUUGUACACACCGCCCGUCACACCACGAAAGUCAUUCACACCCGAAGCCGGUGAGGCAACCGCAAGGAACCAGCCGUCGAAGGUGGGGGCGAUGAUUGGGGUGAAGUAGUAACAAGGUAACCGUA
rnacentral:rRNA from 1 species